rnacentral:lncRNA from 1 species
GUAGUCAGCUGUUAAUUUUCUUUUUAUUAAAAAAAUAUAUAUAAUCUGUGCUCUUGGUAAAAAUUCAAAUCGUUAUGGAAUUGUGCAAAGUAAAAGCUGCCAGUUCUUCACUCCCCGCCCACAGUCCCCUUCUGUUUCAGAGGUAACCUCUGCCGGGGAGACUGGUUUUUAGUGGAAAGUUUUGGGAACCUGACAGGUCUGACCGGUUUCUCCCCCCACUUGAGCUGGGGCCACCACGGGCAGCUCUCAGUGACCUGUGGCUGAGAUCUUAUGUGUCCUUCAGCCCCAGGUCCCUCUCAGAGCUGUCUGUGCCCCUUCCUCUAUGCCCGGGUGGCCAGCACCAGUCAGGUCGGCUCCACAGCAGCAGAGUCUGACUGUUGCCAGUGACUUCACCUCUCUGACCUGCAGUCUCUUCAUCAGUCUCUUACUUGUUACUCUUCAUCCUUGCUGCCAGGGUGGUCAUGAGGGCUGACUGAGGAACAGGCUGUGCACACGCAGCUCAGGACCUUGUGAGAGCAUCAGGCCUGCCAACAACCCCAUGGUACAACAAGAAAAUGGCUGUGCUGGAGCCCUGGACGCCGGAAAUCUGAGAUGAAGGUGCCGGCAGGGCCCUGCCCGCUCUGAAGUCUCUGGGGGAAGCUUCUUUGCCUCUUCCAGCUUCUGGUGGCUCCACGCACUGCUGGGCUCGUGGCUGCCUCCCUCUGGUCUCUGCCCCGGUCUGCACGUGGCCUUCCCUGCGUGUUUCUGUGUCCUUGCUGCUGCUUAGAAGCACAGCAGCCAUUGGAUUAGGACCCACUCUCAUCCAGCAUGGCCUCAUCUUAACUCAUUACGUCUACAAAAUCUCCAUUUCCAAAUAAGGUCCCAUUCUGGGGUCCUGAGUGGACACGGCGGGGACACCAUCAACCCAUCCUAAGGCCUUCUUGGGCAGCCUCAGGGGGAAGCCGGACCAGCCUUAAGUGAAAGUGGAGGGUUCCAAGGAUCCUACAAAGGGGCCCUGACCCAGUCGGUGGGCAGCAGGGGACAGAGUGGACGUGGAACUUGUAGACAGACAGAACGAUGCACAGGACUCACCCCCACCACCAGAGGUCUGUGUGCAGAGACGACAGAGGGCAGCGUCCCUCCCACUGCCCAUCACCCAUGGAGUGUGGAAAAUCCCGGUCAAGACAGCAGCCCGGGCCGUGAAAUCGAAUCUGGGGGUCCCAAGCAUCGGCGUUUGUGCAGCUCUCGGUGGUUCCAAAGUCAGCCAAGAUCUCGGUUCUGGGCCGCCAGGGGCUCUGGAGUCAGACACCUCGUGUCUAAGUCUCCACCAGUUACUGACCGAGCGACCUCAGCAGUACGUUCACCGCUCCGGGUGUCCCUGUCCCCUGUGGAUGGCAUCAUUGCCUCCCUUAUGGAGAUGAGAAGAAUCAAACGGGAACGUUGGCUCCGUGCCUGUCACGAGGGAAGUGCUUGAUAGACGGUGCCCUUCUGCGCCACGUAGAGAGAAAACCGAGGGAGCCUCAUUUAAACUGCAGGCCUGGGAAGGCCUGUGGACUUUCAGGGAAGCUGAGAAGGGGCCCUGGCACCGGUCUGCAUGCCAGCUGGGCAGGGCAGGGUGAGCCUGGUGCAUAUACCUGGGGCCACACAGCAGGGCCUCAUGCUUCUUUUUUGGACCCACUUGACGGAUGGGGAGACUGAGUUCAGAGAGGCCAAGUGGCUUGCCAGGGUCACGCAGCUGAUACACAGCAAAUGGAUUUUAAACCCACCUGACCGCAAUUCCAAGCAUUGUUUUCUUGGGUCAAACCUUGGGAGCUCAAAGGGUGAUCCUGACCUGUGAUGGCUCCAUUUUAUGCAGAAUAUUUUGUUUUGUUUUUUAAUUUGCCUGUUUACUCUAAUGUUCCCAGUCGUUUUCCUCCCAGGGAUCCUCACUCACAAGUGGACUCUGACGGCCUCGGGGGCUCAGAUUUCACAAUCGGCUAAGGCUAACAUAAGGCCUUCCAGGUUACAAGGCUGAAAGUUAUUUUCCAUCAUUCAUUUGUUCACUUUACAUAACAUGCACCUAUUGAGCACCUGCUGUAUACUGGGAACCAAGUUAAACACCAGGUUUGCAGAGGUGGACAAGGCCCUGUUCCUGCCUCCAGGGUCUCCAACCCAUCAGGAGACGCAGGCCCUUUGACAGACACUGGUGAUAAAAUGACAGUGGAGAAAUGGGAUUUUGCCCUGUUAACCAGACUGGUCUUGAACUCCUGACCUCAAGUGAUCCUCCCGCCUCAACCUCCCAAAGUGCUGGGAUUACAGGCCUGAACCACUGUGCCUGGCCCGAAUUGGUCUCUUUCUGAGAGCUGGGACUUCUCCUCUGCUGCCUUGGACAUUAGAAAUUUGACUCCAUGGAGCUGCAUUACCAUAUGCUGACUGUGUGUGUAAGCAUUGGACAUGUAUGGAAAAACAUCGAAACUUCCUCAGUAAACGAACAGGUGCACUUUAUGUAUGACUGUACGUGUGAAAGGUAAAAUUUCUUCAGAGCUCGGCUUUUUGGGUGACUGCCUAGGCUGUCAUGACCCAUCAUGGUUUUUAAAAUUUUUCUUUUUAUUUUUUUGAGACAGAGUCUUACUCUGUCAUCCAGGCUGGAGUGCGAUGGCGUGAUCUCGCUCACUGCAACCUCUGCCUCCUGGGUUCAAGCGAAUCUCCUGCCUCAGCCUCACGAGAAGCUGAGAUUACAGGUGCCCGCCACCACGCCCAGCUAAUUUUUGUAUUUUAAUAGAGAUGGGGUUUCACCAUGUUGGUCAGGCUGGUCUCGAACUCCUGACCUCAAAUGGUCUGCUUGCCUCGGCCUCCCAACGUGCUGGGAUUACAGGUGUGUGUGUGAGCCACUGCGCCCAGCCCCAUCAUGGUUUUUGAUAGAUCUUGUGAAAGACUUAGGUUGUCCGUCAGGGUAUUUCAGAUGACCGCAGUUAUAAAGCUGAGUGCAUACAAUUACCAGCCAUGCUUAAUUACCAGCCACAGUGAUGUGUGCUUAUACCUUUCACUUUUUUGUCUGCUCAUAACUGUCAUACCCUCAUGAUUGCUGCUAGCAUACCUGUUUAUGCUUGCAAAUAUAUGUAUGUCAUUUUUGCCUAUUUCAUUGUAUAAAAUGGCCUAUGAAGUGUUCUGUCAUGUUUUUAUGUUUCUCAUGUAAAUCUCCUGUUAAAAAUGUAAAUACAUUUUUUAAAUAACUUUGAAAAAUUAUU